UCCGGCCGUACCAUGCUGAAUAUACCGGUUCUCGUUAGAUCACCGAAGUCAAGCAUCAUUGGGCGCGGUCAGUACUUGGGUGGGUGACCACCUGGGAACACCGCGUGCCGUU